rnacentral:sRNA from 1 species
GAACUAGCAGAGGAGCCCCCUGUCAGACCAAUACCGAGGGCUUAGUUACGGUUUGAGCUGUCAUCUCAUGCAUUUGGUUAUGCUUAGUCUUUCUUGUUUUGCUUAUGGAAACUGAAAUCCGAGUCCGGGAAACUAAGUCUAGCCUGAUGCAUGAUGUGAGAGCAACUCCUGCCGUGCACCUGAGUCCGCUUAUUGGACUGAAGGGAGCUCCUGGAGAGUCACAU